UACAGAGGUCUCAAGCGUUUGUUCGGAUUCAUUGGGCGUAAAGGGUGCGUAGGUGGCGAGGUUAGUCAGGUGUGAAAUCUCGGGGCUCAACCCCGAAACUGCACUUGAUACUGCCUUGCUAGAGUACUGGAGAGGAGAUUGGAAUUUACGGUGUAGCAGUGAAAUGCGUAGAUAUCGUAAGGAAGACCAGUGGCGAAGGCGAAUCUCUGGACAGUUACUGACACUGAGGCACGAAGGCCAGGGGGAGCAAAACGGG
rnacentral:rRNA from 1 species